rnacentral:rRNA from 1 species
AGUGAACGCUGGCGGUAGGCCUAACACAUGCAAGUCGAACGGCAGCACAGGAGAGCUUGCUCUCUGGGUGGCGAGUGGCGGACGGGUGAGGAAUACAUCGGAAUCUACUCUGUCGUGGGGGAUAACGUAGGGAAACUUACGCUAAUACCGCAUACGACCUACGGGUGAAAGCAGGGGACCUUCGGGCCUUGCGCGAUUGAAUGAGCCGAUGUCGGAUUAGCUAGUUGGCGGGGUAAAGGCCCACCAAGGCGACGAUCCGUAGCUGGUCUGGGAGGAGGAUCAGCCACACGGGAACUGAGACACGGUCCUGACUCCUGCGGGAGGCAGCAGUGGGGAAUAUUGGACAAUGGGCGCAAGCCUGAUCCAGCCAUACCGCGUGGGUGAAGAAGGCCUUCGGGUUGUAAAGCCCUUUUGUUGGGAAAGAAAUCCAGCUGGCUAAUACCCGGUUGGGAUGACGGUACCCAAAGAAUAAGCACCGGCUAACUUCGUGCCAGCAGCCGCCGUAA